CGCACGGACGGGGCUGUGGUGCAUUGUAGUUGCAUUGCAUGUGUUUCUGCCGGGUGCAAUGUGUCUGCAGCGCAACACAGAACCAGGCCAC
rnacentral:pre_miRNA from 10 species